GUGGUCUUGCCAGUUGCUGACUUCAUCCUUCUCUCCAAAUUGUCACUCUAUGGUAGACUUAAAAAACAGCAGCCUCAGAACCACAGGAUCUGCGAAAACCAGCAGCUUGGCAACCACUGGAGAAGAGAACUUGAAAUAUUUACCAAAACCAACAAUACAUACAAGUCUCAAUAAAGUUUAAGAAGAAGGAUGAAAAUCAGUUGUCUACAUAUUUACUUCUAAAAGUCUGGAAAACAUCUUCCUUGAACAUGUCCUUCAUCUCCUCACACCUUACUCCUCUACCUCAUUUAAGAAGCACCUGCCCCUGCGUCCUUCUGACACAUGGAUCUUUUGGAUCACCCUGGCUCAUUUGAUCUUCUCCUGGCCAGAGAAGGGGAAUCAGACAGAUUUAGUGGCUAAAAAACAAUGAUUUCCAAUAAUGCCUGAAGCUGGCUGCCAAUGCAACUGAUGUUUAAGGGCUGGAAUAACUUGUAUUUAGAAUAGAAUGAUUUACUUUCCUUUUCAAACUCCUGAAAUCCUAUGUUGGAGGUCAUUCGUCCUCUGGCUUAUGGAAGAAUAAUGGUUCUUUAUACCUUGCUGGAUGAUUCCACCUUCAUUUUAAGCUAAGGGACUGUUUAAGAAACUGGUUUGGUGACAAAAGUGAUCUUUGCCAAUUUCAAAGAUAAAUAGUUUUAAGGAGUCAAAUUGACUUUGUAAGUUUUCAUCAAAAGCUAUAACUCUGAGUUGAUUCUGGCAAUAGUUAUGGCUCCAUUCUCCAAAAUUACAUUAAUCCAUCUGGAACAAAAUGUGAAUGGACAGGACCUGGGAAAAUAUUUUUGAUGAAUUAGCAGCCAUGCAAAACUGCAAUGGCUUAUACAUUUUUACAAUCUGCACAUUUCUUCAGAAAUCUAGCCACCUAUGUGAGCACUUACUGAGCUGCCUGCGCCACUCACACACUUUUCUAGAGGAGCUGCUUCUUCCCAAAGAUGCACAUGCUUAUACACAUGCCUCAGUGCAACAGGGAGACUUGGUGCAUACUAUAAUCAUGUGCAUAUUUACAAAGAAAUUGUUUUUCCAGAAAGUCUCAUAAUCUGACACUGCUCUCUAAUCAAGAUAACUGUCUUAGAGAUUGAUAUGCAACCCAGAUCAGACUCAUCAGUGUCCUUCCCUGGAAAUGUGGAAUUAUAACCAAGAGAUUUGAGUUGCAGUCUAGAUAUUCUUUUAAUAGGGGAAGUGAAAAUUCAAAAGUUGUUGCAGCCAAGUUCUGUAAUAUGAGUUGUAAAGCAAAAAAAAUCACUUCUCAGAGAAAGAUCAAAUAAUAUCAGACUUUCAGAAAGAAUCAUAAAUGAGAGAUGGAGAGAAAUGAUUUCCCAGUCUCCCUACAGUAUACCAGCCCUUAGCUGCAAUCCUUCUCUGAAGCCCUGCUAAUU